UGCUCUCUUGGUGGCGAGUGGCGGACGGGUGAGUAAUAUAUCGGAACGUGCCCAGUAGCGGGGGAUAACUACUCGAAAGAGUGGCUAAUACCGCAUACGCCCUACGGGGGAAAGGGGGGGAUUCUUCGGAACCUCUCACUAUUGGAGCGGCCGAUAUCGGAUUAGCUAGUUGGUGGGGUAAAGGCUCACCAAGGCAACGAUCCGUAGCUGGUUUGAGAGGACGACCAGCCACACUGGGACUGAGACACGGCCCAGACUCCUACGGGAGGCAGCAGUGGGGAAUUUUGGACAAUGGGGGAAACCCUGAUCCAGCCAUCCCGCGUGUAUGAUGAAGGCCUUCGGGUUGUAAAGUACUUUUGGCAGAGAAGAAAAGGUAUCUCCUAAUACGGGAUACUGCUGACGGUAUCUGCAGAAUAAGCACCGGCUAACUACGCGCCAGCAGCCGCGGUAAUACGUAGGGUGCAAGCGUUAAUCGGAAUUACUGGGCGUAAAGCGUGUGUAGGCGGUUCGGAAAGAAAGAUGUGAAAUCCCAGGGCUCAACCUUGGAACUGCAUUUUUAACUGCCGAGCUAGAGUAUGUCAGAGGGGGGUAGAAUUCCACGUGUAGCAGUGAAAUGCGUAGAUAUGUGGAGGAAUACCGAUGGCGAAGGCAGCCCCCUGGGAUAAUACUGA
rnacentral:rRNA from 1 species